rnacentral:rRNA from 1 species
UACGGAGGAUCCAAGCGUUAUCCGGAAUCAUUGGGUUUAAAGGGUCCGUAGGCGGCCUUAUAAGUCAGUGGUGAAAUCUCCCGGCUCAACCGGGAAAUGGCCAUUGAUACUGUAGGGCUUGAAUUGCCAGGAAGUAACUAGAAUAUGUAGUGUAGCGGUGAAAUGCUUAGAUAUUACAUGGAAUACCGAUUGCGAAGGCAGGUUACUACUGGUGGAUUGACGCUGAUGGACGAAAGCGUGGGUAGCGAACAGG